rnacentral:lncRNA from 1 species
GCUGGAAUUUUCAGGUGCACAAGCAGCGUUGUCAGCCCUCCCCUCGUAUUCUUAGGGACAGCCGGGCUAUUUUGUUGGAAUAUCUCAAACAAAUCCCAUCUGGGUUAUCAAGUGCAGGGAAACAGCCCUCACAGGUUUGGAAAGGUUGCAGAGGACUCUGAGGAAGGUGCCUAAUAGAUGGUGUCAGGUCUCGUUUAGCUGCUCACAGAGCCACUAAUGAAGAGCUCAUUCUCCAUAUGCUGCCGGUGACAGCUGUGUGUGUCCUGAUGUGCAGGAGCAUCGUAAUUGAGACAAUACAAAGCAACACUCAAUUUUCAGAAGGCUUCAAACCCUGCUUUUAUUUUAGUAUGCAUCAUUUUUAUACAUCCUUACAAGACUCAAAAGUUUACACUUUACUCAUUGGUCAGGAAAGACAAACAAAGUGCUCAUUGGAAUAGGCAGUUGCAGAUUUCUCUUAUUUAUCCUUCCUUCUUUCUUGGUUUCUGUGUCAAUGACCGUGGUAGGAAAUUCUUUCAGAGGUAAACAUGGAUCCUCUGAUCAAACUUCUCUCUGGCUCACAGAAGUCACUGUAAAACCUCUUCCACACAGGAGUGUGGUGGUGAAACCCAGCUUCCUAACUCCAGCCAGAUGGCUGAUCUCAGUCUUCCUUCAUAGAAGGCUAAUUCAAAAAUAGUGAUGUUUCUGUCAAUUUAAAAACAUUUAUUCUAGGACCCUUUUCAAUGUUCCUGCAGAGGUGUAAGUGAUGAAGUCAGCAGCUCAGUCCCCAGCCCAGCCAGCACCCGUGUGUGCUGCAGGCAGCCAGACUUCCACACAGGCAGCAUCCCUCAUUUCACACUUGUUUUAUUUCUGUUGUUUCUCAAUGCUGAUGAAACACCUCAUUUGCUCAUACCAGUGUUGUUCUGUCAUUCUCCACAGGUCUCCUCAAAGAUCCUGGUGCGGGCACUUGGGUGAAGGUUUCAUUUCCUUGGACUGUAAAUGUUCUUUGGAGUCUCAGGCACUUCCCUGCAGCAGAACUUGGAGGAGAAACAUGUCAAACACUCUCUGCUUGGGGUCAGGGCUUGCAAGAGGAGAAAAACAACCCAGGACUCUGGCAGGUGUGGAAGUGACAAUUCCAGCAGUAGAACAGAGUCAGCCCUGCAGCAGCAGCAGCUACAGUAGAAACAACCCCUCCCUGCUACAGGCCUCUCCCUGCUGUGGUCUCUGUUCCCAGGACCUGCUCACAUCACCUUGGAUGAUACCUCUGGCUGCCCACCCAGCCAGGGCAGCUCAGGGGUUGUUGGGGCAGCCACUGUCCCCCAUGCUCUGUCCCUCAGCUCUGGGUUUGAUGUCCCAGUGGCUGCUGCUGCCGUCUUACAGCCCCUCAGGCAGAAAACGGAUCACUCCAGAGCUGUGGGGGCUUUCCACAGGACACCAAGCUCUCCUCAUGGUGUACCCCACACCUUCCUUGCUCUUCUGCUCUCUGAUCCUUCAGGGAGCUGUUUGA